rnacentral:rRNA from 1 species
GCCCCUUGCUCGGACAGGGUCACGGCACUGGAGAAGACUGUGAGAGAGUUUGCGGAGACUCCAGGGGACAUAGUGAUCGUCCCAAAGAUUGGGACAAGUUUCGACAGUCUAGGUGAAGCUUACGACUUUUACAACCUGUACUCAUGGGAAAAAGGAUUCGGGAUUAGAUAUGGGAAAAGCAGAUUAAAUGUGAACCGGACAAAGUGCAUGCAAGAGAUCGUAUGUGGAUGCACGGUACAGCCAAUACUUCAGCAUAUUUUGAUAAACAUGGCCUUUUUCCAUGCAUUCUAA